UCCCAGUACAGAACUUGCCUGACCCUAGUG
rnacentral:piRNA from 1 species